CUUCCUGCAGCCUCUCUGUCUGUUUUUGCAUUGUCUCGCUGUGGGGAAGGUGGCAAACAGGCUAGCAGGAGCUGCAGCCCUGAAUGGACUGGAGAAAGCUUGGCUGCCAAUCACCCCUCUCUUUAAGCUAUGCUACCCUUAUUCAAUAGAGGGUUGUUUUAGUGAACCUUUCCAGAAUGGCAGGACCAGUAUUUGAAAUUGUGCAUUGUCUGCUCCAAGCCUGAUCCAGAUGGUGUAGCACAAUACGGAAAUGCUGCACCUUUAAACUCUUUAGAGAACACCUUAGCAAGGUGUGUGGUGCUGUAGGAAACACCUGCAUGGGGCUCUGGUCUCUUUCUACCCAGCUGACUUUUUUCAGCCAUGCACUGGCUUGGGGUCAGCCCUCGCAAGCAGGUGUUUUCCUUCAGAAUAGCUUUCUUGUCUGCAUCCAAGUGGAUCACAAGGGCCGAACUUCACUGCCGGAGGUCACAGGUCAAACACGGCAGCACGGGGUCCCUUGGGUACUGUGCUUACCAGGUGUUUAAUAUUAUCAGAGGUUAUUUGCUGAAACCGUGAUAGAGUGUUCUCAGCGAUUCAAAAUAAAUUUAACGAGAACAGUUUUAAAAGCCCCCACAUUAGAGGAUGUCUGUUCAAUGGACAGGGAGGUUAAAGUUAAUUCGAUCAGGCAUAUGUACUUUCUCCAAAAGGGAACAUAUGCACUCAGCGGCUUGGCCCCAUUUGUUGCAAUUUUGGGUCUCAUUUCCAUUUGCAAGAAAGAUAACUACUUGCAUAUGGAAGCAAUAAAUAAGAGAAGUCAUUAACAUUUCUCUAAUUUAGGGGAAGAAAAAAAAAAAGUCUUAACGAAGUAAUAUCUUUGCCAGGGCAGACAGAAAUGUAAAUUGGAGAUUGGAAGGAAACCUAUUAAAGGAAUUGCUAUGUUACUAGUCUUUUUUAAUCUAAUGAAUUUAUGAAUUGCCACUUGUUAGGUCAUAGACUUCGUUAAUUUCCUAUGUGUUUAGUUAAGGAGAGAAAGUAUGGGGCAGGAGGAAGGAGGGGUGAAAGGAAAAUGCUUGUGAACAAUGAACCUGAGCAAAUAUUUUUGUACAAUGUGUUAAGGCUAUUAGGUUCAAAAUUUGUGACUAAAACCAGCUUUAUUUAGAAAAUCUGAGAAAUGUUGCUCUGUACAUCUAUUGAACAGAACAAUAGAAGUUUUUAAAACUUU